CUCUCAUCUUCUCCAACUAGAGAAAGAGAGCCACGGCUAUGGCAGCUCCUCCACCACCAAAAAAAAAAUCAGUUUUCUUCCUCAAAUCAACUCCUCAUCUAGUGUACAAGAACGUGUAGUAGUUGUUGGAAAGAAACAAGGGGGUGUAGCACCUCAAUAGGGUUGAAGAUUCGGCCAAAGUGAAGAACAAGUUGUAAGGAUAAGUACCAUUGGGCAGCAAGUACAAGUUAUUAUACGACUAAACGCUAAAGGUACAGACGUUCAUUUCGGAGAUCCGCCAGCUUAGGACACUUAUUCAGCUAUUUUGACUGCUCCUUUGUUCCGGAGCCUAGCUUGUGGUAUAACUCCCUUAUGUUGAAUUCAUAUGAGUUUAUUUGGGUACGACGGGGCCCUGUCCCGCCAUAUGAUACGGUCAUUACUCUUAGAGGUCUGUGGACAUUUGUGUGGGUCUGUUUAUGGUUGUUGACGCGUUUUAUGAUUAUGACAUAUGUUUGGGGCGUACCCAUUCGUAAUGGCAGCCUUGUCGGCUUGCAUAUAUAUGUAUGUUUGGUAUGUUGCAUAUCGUGGCAGCCUUGUCGGCUUGCGUAGAAAAAUAUAUGUUGUUGUUUAAAAAUUGUAACUCCUCAGGAGACAGGUGCCUACG